rnacentral:lncRNA from 1 species
UCCGUCAGUAUUUAAAAUACACUAAUAGUUGGUAACAUAUAGCCAUUAAUACUCAAAAUACACCAAGAGUUGGCAUUAUAAGCCACUAAUACUCAAAAUACAUCAAAAGUUGACAUUAUAAGCCACUAGUACUCUAUACACUGAAAUUCAGUUGGCAGCAUAGGCCACCAUAAUACAUAAUACAUCAAAAUGAAACUUAAAAAUCACUUGUCUUGUUCACAUUGCAUCAUUUUUGGAGUUUCACCUUCUUCUGCGGUCCUGCGUACUUUCUCUUCUUUUCCUACAAUAAUAGAUUUAUCAUUGAAUCAGUUACAAGAAUGGUUUAAAUCUAUAUAAAGUACAAAAAGUUUUAAAUUUGCAAUAAUACUUUUUUUGGUGCAGUACAAAACAUUGGCUCAGUAGUCUGUUUUUGAGAAAGCACACAAGGAACAGAUAAAAUGGGUGAAAAUAGGUCAAUUACAAACCAAACAAUAAAAAAGUAAUCAAAGAACGAUAAAAUAAAAACCUUGUACAUAGAAAACAUAGAAAAACACAUGUUCAACUCAAACCAAACAAUAAAAAAAAUUGGUCAAGACAAUAAUAAAGCANNNNNNNNNNNNNNNNNNNNNNNNNNNNNNNNNAAAACUAGGCUCACAUACAAACAAAUUGUCCCCACACAUUCAAUUAAAAAAUCAAAAGCAACAAAGGUAAAAACAGUUUCCCAAAUAAGAAAAAUAUUUCCCAGAAGAAGACAAAAGAACCAUUUUUUUUUAAUAAGCCAAUUUUUUUUAGAAUGAAAAGUACAAGAAGUACUUAUAAAAUACAAGGGAAAUCAAGCAAAACCCCAUCAAAUUCAAAAUCCUGCAAACAUAAAAAAAGCAGCAGACCAGCACCACCUAAAUCAAGCAAAACCCGAUCAAAUCCAACAAAAACACACACAGCUGCUGCUCUCAUAGAAGACAAACGAACCAUAGAAGAAAAUAUAAAAGAAAGACGAACCAUAGAAGAAAAACAAACCUUUAAGCAGUUUUUUAAACAUGACCAACCAUGAUUAUGUGAUUAUGAUAAACCCUAGCAAAU